rnacentral:misc_RNA from 1 species
GUUUUAUUAUAUAGCCUUUCGGCCUAAUGAACAUUCAAUUAUCAGAGUUUGUUUUAAAAGGAGGGGGAGGAGAGAAACAGCCGAUCUAAUUAAAGAGCGAAUGAGCCUUUCUCCCCCCUCAGAGUGCACAGGUGUUGAAUGGAUUAAGGGAGAAUGAGCACAUGCUUUCGCCAGCAUCAACUCUCCCAAGUUUCAUUAAUGAUCCUUCCGCAGGUUCACCUACGGAAA